CUGACGAGUGGCGGACGGGUGAGUAAUGUCUGGGAAACUGCCUGAUGGAGGGGGAUAACUACUGGAAACGGUAGCUAAUACCGCAUAACGUCGCAAGACCAAAGAGGGGGACCUUCGGGCCUCUUGCCAUCGGAUGUGCCCAGAUGGGAUUAGCUAGUAGGUGGGGUAACGGCUCACCUAGGCGACGAUCCCUAGCUGGUCUGAGAGGAUGACCAGCCACACUGGAACUGAGACACGGUCCAGACUCCUACGGGAGGCAGCAGUGGGGAAUAUUGCACAAUGGGCGCAAGCCUGAUGCAGCCAUGCCGCGUGUAUGAAGAAGGCCUUCGGGUUGUAAAGUACUUUCAGCGGGGAGGAAGGGAGUAAAGUUAAUACCUUUGCUCAUUGACGUUACCCGCAGAAGAAGCACCGGCUAACUCCGUGCCAGCAGCCGCGGUAAUACGGAGGGUGCAAGCGUUAAUCGGAAUUACUGGGCGUAAAGCGCACGCAGGCGGUUUGUUAAGUCAGAUGUGAAAUCCCCGGGCUCAACCUGGGAACUGCAUCUGAUACUGGCAAGCUUGAGUCUCGUAGAGGGGGGUAG
rnacentral:rRNA from 1 species